CCUGUGAGCAUGGGUAGUUCCAGGAGCCCCAGCUGACAGAGACCACUAUGAAAAGGCUCUGGGAAGGAUUUCGUAUUAACCAAUUGGCUUUUCAUGUUUACAUAGCCAACAGCUGAGUCAGUCCACAGUCUAGAAGCCCCUGAAGGAAGCACAGACUGGACUCCCUGAGGACUGGUAUGCUGUCUUUGCAUGCUGUUUCCUUCAGACGUGUUUAAUGAAGAAGCUGAACAGAUACAUCUCCAGCCCAGCAUUUGCGAUUUAUUCCUUGAUUUUGGAAGUCUGGGAAGAACACCCAGCUGGCAAAGAGAAAAUUUGCAACAGUGAUUCUGAGUUUGAAUGGAAGCUGAACACAGGAGAUUUACCAGGAAGACAAGACUUCAUCUUGAGUCCAGUCUCCCCAGCUUUGUCAUAGCAAGUUCCAGCUUGUGCAUUGCAGGCAGGACCACUUGACUUACCCCCAACGAUGGUGACGUCACACGGCUUGAAGCUUUGGUUCUAAAGCCUUUCUUACAUCUUUGCAAGAUUCACGUUUGUGCUUUCUCCCCAUCAGUCUUACGAUCAGUUGUGAUCCUUGAAUAGGAAUGAGACUGGCUUCUGGGGCAGGUCUGCAGUAUAUGCUGCUGUGUCCUUAAGAGCUAAGAGCUGGCUGAAAAUGCCCAGACCCACAGCUUUUUCCAGAAGUGCAUCACACUGUCCGGGAAGCAGCUGGUGCCUGCGUUGAGGGUCUCUACGGACUGCAUGAGACAAACGUGGAAGUGCUGAAGGAGAGUCCCCGCUGCGAUGGCUCUGAUGUGGACAGUCACUGAUGUGGGUGACGAGGGACAGGGGCCAGGCAGUGCUGAGUCACAGUGCAGGGACAGCUCUCUGCUUCUUGUCCCUUGCGUCCACUUGAAAUUCUCUUAAGUUAAAAGACUGUGAUGAAUAGCUGUCUGACUGCCCUACUUAGCAACAAUUUGUUAACAUCCUUUGCAGUGUUGGCAGAAGGUUAUAUGUGGAAGUUUCACUUAAUUGUGUUUUAAACUUUUAAGAUGAAAAUUAGUUCAGUUUGUUUCUUCUGUAUCAAGUGCCGUGCACUGAAGUGUUCUCAUGACGGUUUUCUCCUUUGUGGGGAAUUCCACAUCACACACACGGGAAUGCAUCUCUAGCCAAGUGAAACAUUUGGGGCAGCACUGCAUAUCAAGAGGAGGGAGAAACAGCACCUGGCCGGCCUGUACCUGAGUGACUAUGUGACUGCUGGUGUCUUGCUGGUCAUGACUGUGAGGC
rnacentral:lncRNA from 1 species